GACGAACGCUGGCGGCGUGCUUAACACAUGCAAGUCGUACGGUAAGGCCCUUUCGGGGGUACACGAGUGGCGAACGGGUGCGUAACACUUGAGUAACCUGCCCACAACUUUGGGAUAACGCUAGUAAACUGGUGCUAAUACUGGAUAUGUGCUCCUGCCGCAUGGUGGGGGUUGGAAAGCUCCGGCGGUUGUGGAUGGACUCGCGUCCUAUCAGCUUGUUGGUGGGAUAGUGGCCUACCAAGGCGGCGACGGGUAGCCGGCCUGAGAGGGUGACCGGCCACAUUGGGACUGAGAUACGGCCCAGACUCCUACGGGAGGCAGCAGUGGGGAAGAUUGAACAAUGGGCGCAAGCCUGGUGCAGCAACGCCGCGUGCGGGAUGACGGCCUUCGGGUUGUAAACCGGUUUCAGGAGGGACGAAGCUUUUUGUGACGGUACCUGAAGAAGAAGCACCGGCUAACUACGUG
rnacentral:rRNA from 1 species